CUGUCUGUCUGAAUAUAACUGUAUUCGCCCUGUCUGAAACGCACCGUUUUAGCGCCUGUCUCUUCAAGCCCCAUCCCAGUCUGUUCUGAUUGGUCAGCAUUUCCGAGUCUUCUGCAUUUGUGCUCUCAGAGCCUCUGCACUGUCAUUGCAGCCAGGGAAUGACUGUAGCGGCACUUUCUACGAUGAAAACC